rfam:Thermacetogenium phaeum DSM 12270, complete genome.
UUACCGGCAACGGUGGGGUCUGAAGGAAGCCGAAAGGGGAACUCGGAACAUAGGGGAGCGAACCGAGGUUGGCUUAUCAGGUGGGUAACCUUGCACGAUGUGGGAAAGCCCGAAAAUCUUAAAAGUUGAGGGUCUGUUGCAGGAAUUUAUUGCU